UACGUAGGCAGCGAGCGUUGUUCGGAAUUACUGGGCGUAAAGCGUGCGUAGGCGGUGCCUCAAGUUUGGUGUGAAAUCUCCCGGCUCAACCGGGAGGGUGCGCCGAAAACUGAGGUGCUCGAGUGUGGGAGAGGUAAGCGGAAUUCCUGGUGUAGCGGUAAAAUGCGCAGAUAUCAGGAGGAACACCUAUGGCGAAGGCAGCUCGCUGGGACGUUACUGACGCUGAGACGCGAAAGCGUGGGGAGCAAACAGG
rnacentral:rRNA from 1 species